rnacentral:rRNA from 1 species
GACAGAGGGUGCAAACGUUGCUCGGAAUCACUGGGCGUAAAGGGCGUGUAGGCGGGACAGUAAGUCGGGCGUGAAAUCCCUGGGCUCAACCCAGGAACUGCACUCGAAACUACUAUUCUUGAGUGUCGGAGAGGAAAGCGGAAUUCCUGGUGUAGAGGUGAAAUUCGUAGAUAUCAGGAGGAACACCAGUGGCGAAGGCGGUUCUCUGGGCAUGUCCUGACGCUGAGGCACGAAAGCGUGGGGAGCAAACAGGG